AUUGAACGCUGGCGGCAGGCCUAACACAUGCAAGUCGAACGAGUGGCGGACGGGUGAGUAAUGUCUGGGAAACUGCCUGAUGGAGGGGGAUAACUACUGGAAACGGUAGCUAAUACCGCAUACCAUCAGAUGUGCCCAGAUGGGAUUAGCUCGUUGGUGGGGUAAAGGCUCACCAAGGCGACGAGCCCUAGCUGGUCUGAGAGGAUGACCAGCAACACUGGAACGGAGACACGGUCCAGCCUCCUGCGGGAGGGAUCAGUGUGGAAUAUUGCACAAGGGGCGCAAUCCGGAUGCAGCCAUGCCGCGUGUAUGAAGAAGGCAUUCGGGUUGUAAAGUACUUUCAGCGGGGAGGCGUUACCCGCAGAAUAAGCACCGGCUAACUCCGUGCCAGCAGCCGCGGUAAUAC
rnacentral:rRNA from 1 species